rnacentral:rRNA from 1 species
UACAGAGGUGGCAAGCGUUGUUCGGAAUUACUGGGCGUAAAGGGCGCGUAGGCGGCCAUCUAAGUCAGACGUGAAAUCCCCCGGCUUAACCUGGGAACUGCGUCUGAUACUGGAAGGCUUGAGUAUGGGAGAGGGAUGUAGAAUUCCAGGUGUAGCGGUGAAAUGCGUAGAUAUGUCACAGAACACCGAUUGCGAAGGCAGCUUACUAUGGUUUAUUGACGCUGAGGCACGAAAGCGUGGGGAGCGAACAGG